CCUACGGGAGACAGCAGUGAGGAAUAUUGGUCAAUGGGCGAGAGCCUGAACCAGCCAAGUCGCGUGAGGGAGUACUGCCCUAUGGGUUGUAAACCUCUUUUGUCGGGGAGCAAAAGCCGGACGUGUCCGGCUGUGAGAGUUCCCGAAGAAAAAGCAUCGGCUAACCCCGUGCCAGCAGCCGCGGUAAUACGGAGGAUGCGAGCGUUAUCCGGGUUUAUUGGGUUUAAAGGGUGCGCAGGCGGAUUUUUAAGUUAGCGGUCAAAUCGUGGGGCUCAACCCCAUCCAGCCGUUGAAACUGGGGGUCUAGAGUGGGCGAGAGGUAUGCGGAAUGCGUGGUGUAGCGGUGAAAUGCAUAGAUAUCACGCAGAACCCCGAUUGCGAAGGCAGCAUACCGGUGCACAACUGACGCUCAGGCACGAAAGCGUGGGUAUCGAACAGGAUUAGAUACCCUUGUAGUC
rnacentral:rRNA from 1 species